AUGUGUUGGCUUUGUGGAGCUGCUUUUCACACCCAGCUGCAGAUGUGCCUGCUGACUUUUGAAGACAGAGCUCAGCAAUUUGACCACCUUGCCCAAAAGUCUAUCCAGCGCCCAUCAGCCUAUCCAAAGCCACUGCCUUUCAGGACACACCAUGGACAAGAUGACACUCUUGGCCCCAUUGCUGGUCUUCUGCCAUGCGGAUCGUGGCUUUCCAUGGUUGGGUUCUGCCCUAUGGAUGAGCUGUCCCACCUGACAGCACUCGUGCACCUCACGCACCCGCAGUGCUAUGCGGUGUGCAUGGCUCUUUUCCUAUCACGGUCAAUGAGAUGUACGUUAUUUCUGAAUCAUAGAGCCUUUUGUUUUCUUGUCCCUACAGAGACCAGACCAGCGAAUUUGCUGCGUAAGUCAGAGAAACUGUUGCCCUUUAUAGCAUGUACAGCAAAGCUGAAAGUUGCUGGCUUUCCUGUUCCAGCCACGUAGAACAAUGCUCCCAUCCAGAUUUCCUCACAAAGUUUGCUAGCCCAGCACUCAGAGACCUGGAUGAGAUCCUCAAAACCACCCAGCUCAGGAAAUCCCAACUGCAAUUACACAUGGGAGAACGUACCUGGGGACAUAUCCCCAUAAAUCUGCUUCGUCUCCUUCUUAGACAUCCACCCCUGCCCACCACCAGGAACAGGAUAUGGCUCUAUGCUGCCAGCACUAGCUGGGACUACCCAAAAUGGCAAUUUUUAGCUUAUUCUGCUCUUAAGUUUCUAGCUGGAGUGCAUCAGCAAUGUUAGUCACUUCCUCCCCUUCCUCUUGGACCUUGCUUCAGGAAACAAGGAACAAUGCAUCCCUACGCAGGGCAGCCCUCACCACUAGGCAAAGUGGGGUGAUGGUGGCACGUGGAAGUGGCUCCCAAGGACACUUGUCCAAGCACAGCUUCCCAGAGAAAGAGCAGGAACGGUGGUGAAAGAGCCAGAUCUAAGAAGUUGUCCAAGACGAUGCCAUUCAGACUUUCUAAGGUUAACUAGAACACAUAGGCAUACUUCAAUCUUCUUCAUACUGCCUACCAAGUACAAGCUGUGACUGCACAGCUGUGAUGUUCACCAUCUGGAGCUAUAAGGAGGUGGCUUAUUUUUAAACUCACACCUGUCCUCCUUCUGCUGGCGUUGAUCCACAGCAUGGUGCAGAAAUCCUGUUCUCCAGAGACACACUCCUGUCUGGUGACUCCUCGUGGGCUGGGGGAGUGGGGUUCCAGGGAUGGGCACCGGGGAACUGAAACCUGAAAACUGAUGGAGAACAUCUACUCUGUCCUGAACAGUUCUACAUAAAACCUGUAACUAGUGGAGCAGAUCAAGUACCUCACAUGAGGAAUCGUGAGGCAAGAAAUGUAUCUAAACCGAGUGCCAGGUAUUGCUGCUCCUCAUCACAGAACAUCAGCACAUGCUCUGGGAGAACUGAAGGAGUUAAACUUCUUUUUGCCACCCAAGAAUGAACA
rnacentral:lncRNA from 1 species